GCUGUAGCUCAGCAGUGGAGCACCUGCUUUGUGUGCAGAAGGUCCCAGGUUCAGUCCCCUGUGCCAUCACCA
rnacentral:tRNA from 1 species